UGGGGAAUAUUGCACAAUGGGGGAAACCCUGAUGCAGCAACGCCGCGUGAGUGAAGAAGUAUUUCGGUAUGUAAAGCUCUAUCAGCAGGGAAGAAGAGAGACGGUACCUGACUAAGAAGCCCCGGCUAACUACGUGCCAGCAGCCGCGGGAAUACGUAGGGGGCGAGCGUUAUCCGGAUUUACUGGGUGUAAAGGGAGCGUAGACGGUCUGACAAGUCUGAAGUGGAAGCCCGCGGCUCAACCGCGGAACGGCUUUGGAAACUGUGAGGCUGGAGUGCUGGAGAGGUAAGCGGAAUUCCUAGUGUAGCGGUGAAAUGCGUAGAUAUUAGGAGGAACACCAGUGGCGAAGGCGGCUUACUGGACAGUAACUGACGUUGAGGCUCGAAAGCGUGGGGAGCAAACAGG
rnacentral:rRNA from 1 species